rnacentral:rRNA from 1 species
GAUUAAAAUAAUUAAGGGCACACAAAGGAUGCCUAGGUAGUAAGAGCCGAUGAAGGACGUGGUAAGCUGCGAUAAGCCUAGAUAAGUUGCAAUCGAACGUAAGAGUCUAGGAUUUCCGAAUGGAGCAAUCUAUUAAGAUGGAGUCUUAAUACGAAAGAGGGAACCACGUGAACUGAAACAUCUAAGUAACGUGAGGAAAAGAAAGUAAAAACGAUACCCAAAGUAGCGGCGAGCGAACUGGGUCAAGCCUAAACCUUAAAUAUGUCAAGGAUACAGCCGUUGUAUUUAAGGGUUGAGGGACAAAGUAGUGAAGAACUGUAAGAUAUUCAAUAUAGUGUAUUGAUGAAUUAGAAUUGUAUGGAAAGAUAAACCGCAGAAGGUGAGAGUCCUGUAUAAGUAAAUCCUUACACAUAUAACUUUGCUCCCAAGUAACAUGGAACACGAGGAAUUCUGUGUGAAUCAGUGAGGACCAUAUCUCAUAAGGCUAAAUACUCUUACUAACCGAUAGCGCAUAGUACCGUGAGGGAAAGGUGAAAAGAACCCCUGGAGGGGAGUGAAAUAGAACCUGAAAUUGUGUGCUUACAAGCGGUCAGAGCCCGUUUGGGUGAUGGCGUGCCUUUUGGAGAAUGAUCCUGCGAGUUACGUUAAACGGCGAGGUUAAGUAUAACGGAGCCGAAGGGAAACCAAGUCUUAAUAGGGCGAUAUAGUCGUUUGGCGUAGACGCGAAACCUGGUGAUCUAAACCUGUCCAGGAUGAAGCUGUGGUAAGACACAGUGGAGGUCCUAACCCACCGCCGUUGAAAAGUUGGGGGAUGAGGUAGGUUUAGGGGUGAAAAGCCAAUCGAACCAGGAGAUAGCUCGUUCUCUCCGAAAUGCAUCUAGGUGCAGCCUUGAGUGUUCAAUUAUGGGGGUAGAGCACUGAAUGAUCUAGGGGGCAUAUUGCUUACUGAAAUCAAUCAAACUCCAAAUACCAUAAUUUAUAGCUCAGGAGUGAGACCAUGGGAGUUAACUUCCAUUGUCAAAAGGGAAACAACCCAGACCACCAGCUAAGGUCCCUAAUUAUAACUAAGUGGGAAAGGAGGUGGAGAUUCACAAACAACUAGGAGGUUGGCUUAGAAGCAGCCAUACCUUUAAAGAGUGCGUAAUAGCUCACUAGUCGAGAGUCUCUGCGCCGACAAUGUAACGGGGCUAAGUUAUAAACCGAAGCUGUGGAAUCCUUAUGGAUUGGUAGGAGAGCGUUCUGUAGGCUGUUGAAGAAGAAGGGUAACCAACUUUGGAAGUAUCAGAAGUGAGAAUGCAGGAAUAAGUAGCGAGAAAGGGGGCGAGAAUCCCCCUCGCCGGAAGACCAAGGUUUUCAGGGUAAAGCUUGUCUUCCCUGAGUAAGCCGGGACCUAAGCCCAGGCUAUAAUGCGUAGGCGAAUGGAAAACAGAUUAAUAUUUCUGUGCCAGUCAUUUAUUGUGAUGGAGGGACGCAGAAGGGUAUGUGCGCGGACGAUUGGUUGUGUCCGUAGAAGUAUGUAGGAUGACUUAGUAGGUAAAUCCAUUAAGUUAUAUCUGAGGUAUGAUAUACAGUCGUAAGAUGAAUGUACAAAUCCCACGCUGCCAAGAAAAACUUCUAACGUUAAUAUAUGACUGCCCGUACUGUAAACCGACACAGGUGGUCAGGAUGAGAAAUCUAAGGCGGACAGGCUAACUCUCGUUAAGGAACUCUGCAAAAUAACCUCGUAACUUCGGGAGAAGAGGAGCCCUUGUGUGUGAGUAUACACGCGAUACAAAGCGCACGAGGGUCGCAGUGAAGAGGCUCAAGCAACUGUUUAACAAAAACACAGGUCUAUGCUAAGCUGUAAGGCGAUGUAUAUGGGCUGACACCUGCCCAGUGCUGGAAGGUUAAGAGGAGGAGUGAGAGCUCCGAAUUGAAGCCCCAGUGAACGGCGGCCGUAACUAUAACGGUCCUAAGGUAGCGAAAUUCCUUGUCGGGUAAGUUCCGACCUGCACGAAUGGUGUAAUGAUUUGAGCGCUGUCUUGACGGGAGGCCUGGUGAAAUUGUAUUACCGGUGAAGAUACCGGUUACCUACAGUAGGACGGAAAGACCCCAUGGAGCUUUACUGUAGCUUGGUAUUGGGUUUUGGCAUUGCAUGUAUAGGAUAGUUGGGAGACUAUGAUGGUAUGGCGCUAGCUGUAUCGGAGUCAUCGGUGGAAUACCAACCAUUCAAUGCUGAAAUUCUAAUCUGUGGUUUGAAGCCACGGAGACAGUGCUAGGUGGGCAGUUUGACUGGGGCGGUCGCCUCCGAAAGAGUAACGGAGGCGUUCAAAGGUUCUCUCAGGUUGGAUGGAAAUCAACCAUAGAGUGCAAUGGCAUAAGAGAGCUUGACUGCAAGACUGACGGGUCGAGCAGAUGCGAAAGCAGGACAUAGUGAUCCGGCGAUUCCGAAUGGAAGGGUCGUCGCUCAACGGAUAAAAGCUACCCUGGGGAUAACAGGCUGAUCCUACCCGAGAGUCCAUAUCGACGGUAGGGUUUGGCACCUCGAUGUCGGCUCAUCGCAUCCUGGGGCUGGAGAAGGUCCCAAGGGUUGGGCUGUUCGCCCAUUAAAGCGGUACGUGAGCUGGGUUCAGAACGUCGUGAGACAGUUCGGUCCCUAUCCACUGUAGGCGUUAGAAUAUUGAGAAGACCUGUCCUUAGUACGAGAGGACCGGGAUGGACAAACCUCUGAUGUACCAGUUGUCACGCCAGUGGCACAGCUGGGUAGUCACGUUUGGAAUAGAUAAUCGCUGAAAGCAUCUAAGCGAGAAACUAACUUCAAGAUAAGUAUUCUUUAAGAUACCUUUGAGACUAGGAGGUUGAUAGGUUGGAGGUGUAAGUACAGCAAUGUAUUUAGCUGACCAAUACUAAUUAUCAAAGUUUUAAUCUA